rnacentral:rRNA from 1 species
UAUGUGAUCGUCUCUCGCAUAUCAAUAAGCGGAGGAAAAGAAACUAACAAGGAUUCCCCUAGUAACGGCGAGUGAAGCGGGAAGAGCUCAAAUUUGAAAUCUUAAAGGGUUUCCCUUUACGAAUUGUAGUUUAAAGAAGUGUUUUCUGUUGAGGUUUUGGUAAAAGUUCUUUGGAAUAGGACAUCAUAGAGGGUGAGAAUCCCGUAUUUGACCUUUACUUUCAACUUUGUGAUACACUUUCAAAGAGUCGGAUUGUUUGGGAAUGCAGUCCAAAAUGGGUGGUAAAUUUCAUCUAAAGCUAAAUAUUGGCGAGAGACCGAUAGCGAACAAGUACCGUGAGGGAAAGAUGAAAAGAACUUUGAAAAGAGAGUUAAACAGUACGUGAAAUUGUCAAAAGGGAAGCGUUUGACACCAGUGUUGUUUUUCUGAAAAUCAAUUAAAGAACUGUUUAUGCUAAGUUGUUUAGACUUUAUCAGCUAAUCUGUUUAGUUUUGAGCUUUUCUUUAAUGCACUUUUCAGUUAACAAGUCAACAUCAAUUUCUUUUGCUGUAAAAAAGCUUGAGGAAGGUGGCUUGAGAUUCGUCUUAAGUGUUUAUAGCCUCUUGCCUAUGCAGUCGGAGAGAUUGAGGUCUGCAGCGUAGAUCCUUCGGGGCUAAAUGCAUUUGUGCUAAGUUAUAACAUUUUAUAGACAACUUGUUGACUAUGAUUUGUCUUGUAGCUUACUCGCUUAUGUUAUUUUACCUACGCUUAGGAUGUUGAGUAGCGACAUACGCAC